AUGAGCAUCGACACAGACUUCCUCACGAGUGUUGAGGUAAAGGAGGAUGAGCUACAUGGAAAUGUGCUCAUUGCAGUAACUCAAAUUGCACUCGGAAGGACCAUCGGUGUGAUUGAUAAGGCUACACCGAAUGAUUCGAAUGCUCUUCUCAUCUUGAACCUGAUUAAGGAAGCUGAUGACGGAGAAGAUGCCAAUAUUUGUAUGAGGCAGGAGGAUAGAAAGACUUUUCUACAAACCAGUAAGAUUAUCAAUAUUGGAGAGCGUCUUCUUCUACAAAGACUGUCCGAAGAGGAGUGUGAUGAGGAGGAUCAGGAUGAUCUUGAGAAUUUAAUUUUGUUAAAAGAUGAAGAUCGGUGAGUAUGACCCUUGAAAGAAACAAGAAAAAGAGCAUGCUAAAAAGGCCGGACAGUACUCAAAGCUGCACAAAGAGCAGCAGUGAAGACAGCAAUCUAAACGGUUUCGAGGAGUAUAUUCGAGAACACGGCGAACUUGUACCUGGUCAAACGCCUCCCGACGGAUCACACAAGUGUGGAGUUUGUCCAAAGAGUUUUUCAAGUGCAAGCGGUCUCAAACAACACUCUCAUAUUCAUUGCUCCUUAAAGCCGUUUCGGUGUCAUUUGUGUCCAAAGUCCUACACACAAUUCUCAAAUCUGUGCAGGCACCGGAGAGUUCAUUCAGACGGUUGGACGUGCCCAACGUGUCAAAGUCAGAUGCCAUCACAAGCGGCACUAACGAAGCAUCGACCAGUUUGCGAGAUGACUGCACUCUACAAACCAUUGAUGGCGCAACUUGCCGGAUUGAGCGGAGCAGGUGGAUUAGGUUCCGUGCCAUAUUGGCCACAUAUACUUCAAAUGGCAACACAGGCACCACAUUUCCCGCUUGCUUUUCUUGCCGCCAAUCCAGAAGCGUACAAACUGAUGCAGCAGACGACGUGUGCAUCUCCAGAUGCCGAGUGUUCCAGUGGACAUGCCAGUGAAUCUUCACCAACUACAACUGAACCAGUCGACCUAACAGCUACACCAAAACCUCCUUCGACGUCUGAAAUGGAAACUACAUCAAAGUCCGACGAUGGAGAGGAUCGUGACAGCAUCGGAGACUCUGGGAAUGAUGAUGAUGAUGACUCAGAAGCUGGAGUUCUAGAUGAGUCGUCCACAACAACGUCAACGAAAAAGCGUCCGACAUCUCACACAAUUUCCGACAUACUCGCUGCUCCACAACUCGGUGCUCAGGCUUUGAAUUCGACGUUCCUUGGCAUGCUUCAGCGCUCGCUUAAUUAUAAUCCAGCAGUUCCAUCGCCUCACUCAUUUCUAAGAGCAAUGAGCGGAGCAAAAGCAUCAUCAUCACCAAGCUCGAGCAGUGGAAGUGGAAAGGAUAGGUACACGUGCAAGUUCUGUCAGAAAGUGUUCCCAAGAUCAGCGAAUUUGACAAGACAUUUAAGGACACAUACAGGAGAGCAGCCUUAUAAGUGUCAAUAUUGCGAGCGAAGCUUCUCAAUCUCCUCCAAUUUGCAACGCCACGUUAGAAACAUUCAUAAUAAGGUAAGCCAUCUCUAACAGUUUCCCAUUGCUACAGUAACCCCCCGCAACUUCCCCAUGUACUUUCUCCAACUCUCUCUAGUCCCCCAUUCUUUCCAUCUGUUCGUGUUUGUAGCCGAACACCUCGCUGACACCCCACAAUCAUCAUCGUCAACGAAGUCUGCACAAUUCAACCUCAACCUCCACUACUACUACUACCGUCCAUCAUCCUCUUCUUCAUCUUCCAGGAACGUCCGUUCCGGUGCCAAAAGUGUGA
rnacentral:misc_RNA from 1 species